AUCCAACUGACGAGUCCCAAACAGGACAAAAUGAGCAUCUUUCAU
rnacentral:hammerhead_ribozyme from 1 species